CACAUGCAAGUCGAACGGCAGCACGGGAGCUUGCUCCUGGUGGCGAGUGGCGAACGGGUGAGUAAUAUAUCGGAACGUAUCCAAUAAUGGGGGAUAACUAAUCGAAAGGUUGGCUAAUACCGCAUACGAUCUACGGAUGAAAGCUGGGGACCGCAAGGCCUAGCGCAAAUAGAGUGGCCGAUGUCAGAUUAGCUAGUUGGUGGGGUAAAGGCCCACCAAGGCAACGAUCUGUAGCUGGUUUGAGAGAACGACCAGCCACACUGGGACUGAGACACGGCCCAGACUCCUACGGGAGGCAGCAGUGGGGAAUUUUGGACAAUGGGCGCAAGCCUGAUCCAGCAAUGCCGCGUGCAGGAUGAAGGCCUUCGGGUUGUAAACUGCUUUUGUACGGAGCGAAAAGGCUUCUUCUAAUACAGGAGGCUCAUGACGGUACCGUAAGAAUAAGCACCGGCUAACUACGUGCCAGCAGCCGCGGUAAUACGUAGGGUGCAAGCGUAAUCGGAAU
rnacentral:rRNA from 1 species